CCAAGCUCCGGGCUCGGUGUUGGGCCCACAUCCCCCCCAACGGAUGAGCCUCAAAAUCAGUGGCGGCGUGGCAUGACCCCGAGCGUAGUGACACUAUUUUUGCUCCGUGGGUUUCAUGCGACGGUGGCCAGAACUGGAUGUCACAGUCCAACUUCUCAAAGGUUGACCUCGGAUCAGGUAGGGAUACCCGCUGAACUUAA
rnacentral:misc_RNA from 1 species